CUUCGGAGCUAUUUCUAGGUUUGAUGAGAGACUACAGGAGCCUGUGGAGUCUGCAGAACUAUAGGCAUGAUAAAACAAAAUAUUCUACGCUUCAAGAUCAAUGAAACUCUACCUGAAAGUGCUAAAGCUCAAAGCUACCAGGAAAUUAUCCUGAAACUGAAAACCUCCAGGAAAUUGACUGGACAUACCACAUGCAACAUCCAAGGUAUUCUACAGAUUACCAUGGAAAAGGCUGUGGAUGGUAGCAGUGUGGGGAGAGAAAAGUGCAUCUCAAGAGGGACACAGAGGUGACACAGGCACCAGAUCCUCAACUAUGGCAAAUCACCACAGCUUCAUUGACUUCCA
rnacentral:lncRNA from 1 species